AGCAGCCGCGGUAAUUCCAGCUCCAAUAGCGUAUAUUAAAGUUGUUGCAGUUAAAAAGCUCGUAGUUGAAUUUCGGGAUCAAUAUGUCGGUCGUGCCUUCGGUACGUACUGGUAUCAUUGGUCUCUCCUUUCUGACGAACCAUGAUGUCAUUAAUUUGGUGUUAUGGGGAGUUAGGACUGUUACUUUGAGAAAAUUAGAGUGUUUAAAGCAGGCUUUAGCUUGAAUACAUUAGCAUGGAAUAAUGAAAUAGGACGUUCGAACCUAUUUUGUUGGUUUCUAGGAUCAACGUAAUGAUUAAUAGGGAUAGUUGGGGGCAUUAGUAUUCAAUUGUCAGAGGUGAAAUUCUUGGAUUUAUUGAAGACUAACUACUGCGAAAGCAUUUGCCAAGGAUGUUUUCAUUAAUCAAGAACGAAAGUUAGGGGAUCGAAGACGAUCAGAUACCGUCGUAGUCUUAACCAUAAACUAUGCCGACUAGGGAUCGGAUGAUGUUAAUUUUUAAUGACUCAUUCGGCGCCUUAA
rnacentral:rRNA from 1 species